rnacentral:rRNA from 1 species
UACGAAGGGGGCUAGCGUUGCUCGGAAUCACUGGGCGUAAAGGGUGCGUAGGCGGGUCUUUAAGUCCGGGGUGAAAUCCUGGAGCUCAACUCCAGAACUGCCUUUGAUACUGAGGAUCUUGAGUCCGGGAGAGGUGAGUGGAACUGCGAGUGUAGAGGUGAAAUUCGUAGAUAUUCGGAAGAACACCAGUGGCGAAGGCGACUUACUGGACACAUAUUGACGCUGAGGUGCGAAAGCGUGGGGAGCAAACAGG